UACGGAGGGCGCGAGCGUUACCCGGAUUUACUGGGCGUAAAGGGCGUGUAGGCGGUCUGGGGCGUCCCAUGUGAAAGGCCACGGCUCAACCGUGGAGGAGCGUGGGAUGCGCUCAGGCUAGACGGUGGGAGAGGGUGGUGGAAUUCCCGGAGUAGCGGUGAAAUGCGCAGAUACCGGGAGGAACGCCGAUGGCGAAGGCAGCCACCUGGUCCACAUGUGACGCUGAGGCGCGAAAGCGUGGGGAGCAAACCGG
rnacentral:rRNA from 1 species